CCUGUGUCAGUGUUUGUUAAACCAGAACGUAGUUGUAUUUUUUUUAAAAAAAUCAUUGGCAACCUCUAGAGAGACUAGAUAUUAAGAUAGAGUUUAAAAUAUAUGCAUAUAUUUUCCAUGCAUUUAACUGCCUUGUUUUACUGCCUAGGCACAUCCUUUGGUAUGGUCUUUAUUGUACUCAGCAUUGUUUCCUGCUGGAUUAUUCUAAAGCGCAAAAAAAGGCAGUAAUAGAGAUGAAGAACCUAAAGAAGUAAAUAUUCAUUUACAACCCCAAGAAGGCAGCUGUGAUCAUGCAAAAAGUCUGCAAACAAAUCAGGAACAUAACAGUGUCAUUCCUGGAUAAAGUACUAAAAAGCUGGAGAAUGCCUCAAAUUAAAAUCAUCAUUGGAAAAGAGCCAAUUCAUUGCAACAGAAUUAGACCUGAGACUCAUAAAUCCUUUGAAGUGACUUCACAGAGAUGCAGGCAUGUGCACUGAAGAUGCUGAAGCUCUCCCAAUACCUCAGGAAGCUCCAUCCUCUUAGUUUGCACACUGUCACCUCUUUCCUUGUGCUGAAAGCACACAUUGUCUGGUCGGAGGAAAGACUGCACUUAGAAUAUAUAAACAGUGUCAAUUACUCAAAAGAAGAAGGUGUGACCUAGGAUUUCUGUUAAUAAGUUUGCCAUUUGUCUUUCUUAUGUUUAAUUGUUUAUGUAGAUGACUCUUGAACAAUGUGGGGGUUAAGUGGUCCCACCUAAAUAGAAAAGGUCUUUCUGAUCUGUGGUUUGCUAAAUUCUGGAUGUGAAAUCCCAGGAUAUGGAGGACCACCAGUAUAGUUAUUAAAAAACAUCCACAUAUAAGUGGUCCCAUGAAGUUCAAACUCCUGCUGUUCAACUGUUAACUGUAAUAUGGAAUGGAUACAUUUAAGGAGAAUUGAGAAAGCACAGGAGGAAGAUAUAAAAAACAAAUGUCACCUGUAACUAUACUACCCAAUGAUAACCACUGUUAAUGUUUGAAUUUACAUUCUUUCUUUGUAUAUGUUUCUUUAUACACACACAUAUAUAUUUCUUUCUUAAAUACCUUCCCUUUUGUUUAUAGAGCAGAAUCCACUUUUUUAACACAGAUUGAAGUAAAUGAAUGCUAUAUCAUUUUUCAAUUUCUAAAGAAAAAUAAGUAAUUCCUGUUUACUAAAAUCACAUUAAAUGACUAUAGGAAAGUUGGGUCAAGAAUAUUCAUGGGAAAUGUCUGGAAAAAAUAAAUUUUGUAUAUUUCCUAAGGUCUAUAUCAAAAGUACUUUGUACUAUGUUCUGUUUUAAAAA